CAAAGGCUUGGUCCUGACUUUACUAUCAACUUUAGCCAAAUUUACACAUGCAAGUAUCCGCACCCCUGUGAGAAUGCCCUAACAGUCCCCUGCCCGGGGAUAAGGAGCUGGUAUCAGGCACACUUUAUACGAGCCCACGACACCUUGCAUAGCCACACCCCCACGGGAAUUCAGCAGUGAUAGACAUUAAGCUAUAAGUGAAAACUUGACUUAGUCAAGGCUAAGAGGGCCGGUAAAACUCGUGCCAGCCACCGCGGUUAUACGAGAGGCCCAAGUUGAUAAUCACCAGCGUAAAGCGUGGUUAAGGGAAGAUAAAAACUAAAGCCGAACGCCCUCAGUUAACUGUUAUACGAUAUACCGAAGGUAAGAAGCCCAUCCACGAAAGUGACUUUAACAAUAUCCUGAACCCACGAAAGCUACGACACAAACUGGGAUUAGAUACCCCACUAUGCCUAGCCUUAAACAUUGAUAGUAAACUACACCUAGCUAUCCGCCUGGAAACUACGAGCAUCAGCUUAAAACCCAAAGGACUUGGCGGUGCUUUACACCCACCUAGAGGAGCCUGUUCUAGAACCGAUAAUCCCCGUUCAACCUCACCUUCUCCUUAUUUCCCGCCUAUAUACCACCGUCGUCAGCUUACCCUGUGAGGGUCUAAUAGUAAGCAAAAACGGUAAUAACCCCAGACGUCAGGUCGAGGUGUAGCACAUGGGAAGGGAAGAAAUGGGCUACAUUCCCCAAUUUGGGGUAUAACGAAAGAUGUCCUGAAAUAACACAUCUAAAGGAGGAUUUAGCAGUAAGUAGGAAAUAGAGUGUCCUGCUGAAACUGGCCCUGAAGCGCGCACAUACCGCCCGUCACUCCCUCCAAGCCCGAUGACUUUAACAUAAUUAAAACCUAAAAUUAGCAAAGGGGGGACAAGUCGUAACAUGGUAAGUGUACCGGAAGGUGCGCUUGGAAUAAA
rnacentral:ncRNA from 1 species